rnacentral:rRNA from 1 species
ACAUUACCGAGUGAGGGCCCUCUGGGUCCAACCUCCCACCCGUGUUUAUUUUACCUUGUUGCUUCGGCGGGCCCGCCUUAACUGGCCGCCGGGGGGCUUACGCCCCCGGGCCCGCGCCCGCCGAAGACACCCUCGAACUCUGUCUGAAGAUUGUAGUCUGAGUGAAAAUAUAAAUUAUUUAAAACUUUCAACAACGGAUCUCUUGGUUCCGGCAUCGAUGAAGAACGCAGCGAAAUGCGAUACGUAAUGUGAAUUGCAAAUUCAGUGAAUCAUCGAGUCUUUGAACGCACAUUGCGCCCCCUGGUAUUCCGGGGGGCAUGCCUGUCCGAGCGUCAUUGCUGCCCUCAAGCACGGCUUGUGUGUUGGGCCCCGUCCUCCGAUCCCGGGGGACGGGCCCGAAAGGCAGCGGCGGCACCGCGUCCGGUCCUCGAGCGUAUGGGGCUUUGUCACCCGCUCUGUAGGCCCGGCCGGCGCUUGCCGAUCAACCCAAAUUUUUAUCCAGGUUGACCUCGGAUCAGGUAGGGAUACCCGCUGAACUUAAGCAUAUCAAUAA